UCUAGUGUUGGGUAGUGGUUUGAGCAUUGGACUACGACUCUGGAGACCAGGGUUCAAUUCCCCGCUCCACAC
rnacentral:tRNA from 1 species